CUUCGCAGAAUGUGGUCUUGCUAAGCCUCGUGGGAGGACAGGCUUUCGAGUAGGACAGAGUGAGGAGUUAACUGUCAGGCUGCUGCGUGCAAAACCUUGCUUCCCUCCCAUCCCCCUUUCCGAUGCUCUGAUUUAAACGAACCACAAAAUUACAACAGAAAAGUAUAUUUUGGAAGAUGGGCGGGGUCAGUAGAAAAUCUGCAUUCAGAUUAAAUCUAGCGAGAAUGAGGGACGUGUAUUUGUUGAGGGUCAUCAACUCCCAAGAAUCACGCUCUGGGAAGAGGGCCAGCCCGGUGUCCCGCGCGCCUGGCUCAGCUCCGCAGUUUGCCGGAGAGCAGAGAGGCGGCUGAGCAGAGGAGGCGCACGGUUCGGGUCGUGUCACCAGUUCUUCGCUUGCUGACCUGCCCAGGGUCAGGGGACGGCGGCAGCACGGUGGAGGUGGGCCCUGUGACACUUGGGAAGUCGUGUCUCGCCCCCUCCCACUACAGAUGGAUUCCAGUCUGGGCAGCAGGGAUCCAGGUGACAAGUCAGUCUUGCAUCAUUUCAAGGCGGGUAACAGAGAGGCCCACGCAGCCCUGGAUAAGCCCGCUGUGGAGCCUCGCGUGCCCUGGUGUCUGUCUUAAAGGCAACUUUACUGUCUCCAAGUACACUCUUUAAUUUUCUCAAAGAGCUACUUUCCGCCCGACUCGGGGUUCCCUUUACUCUUUUAGUGGAAAUGGAAAAAAAAGAAAAAAAAGAAAAACACAAAAAAGCAAAAUUCAGGGAAAUGCUCUCCAUCGCUUCCCCUGUCCUGUUGGAGUCUCUUUCCUAAGCACUGCCCGGAUUAGAUUGCCCCCAGCUGCUGGCUCCCCGGCUGGAGGAAGUAAGCAGAAAGUUGGGCGCCGCUUGGAGCGCCUUUCUCCUUGCUGUGUGUGUACGUGUGCACGCUCACGUCUCCCUCGCUACGGGGCCGCGGACAGGAACUGUUCACCCCGACGGCGCAGCUCUAGGGGGUAGCAGGGGUGGGGGAGGGCGGCCAGGCGCGCGGCAGCCUGGAGUCCCGCGGCGUGUUGGCACACCCGCGUCCCUCCCCCGCAGUCCCCACCCUCCUCUGGGAGAACAGGUGAGCCCGGGUACCAGCUCUCAACCCUCACACGCCCCCGCCCCGCUUGGCUCUGCAGUAAUGUGCCAGGAAGGUUUCAUCACCCACCGCCCGCGGCGACACAGCCGCAGUUUCCGCGGCGGGGCGCACUGCCGGCCUUACUGGGCCGCCAUGUGACAUGCUUGGGGGAGGGGGUACGGAGAUGCCGGGGCAGGUCAUCCUUCAGCAGCUGGCUUCAGCCUUCCUUCCUGGGGCCAGGUGAAGCUCAGGGCUAGGUGACCACCCCUGGCCAAGGCUACCUUCUCGCGAGGAGCAAACCUCAAUGGGGAGGGGGGGGGAAUGGGGCAAGUGCUUUCAGAAUGGGCUGCCCAGGGUCUGGAGUGCCCAGGAGCCGCUGUCCACGGCACCUGCUUAGGUUUCAGAGCCUCAGGAAAUGGUCACUUUAGUCCGAAUCUGCAGAGGUGGCAAGAAACUGUCCACUCAUGCCGAUGCUUCCAGUCGCAGUCAGCUCCCGCAGCUACAGAUCUUUUGUAGCAAGGCGCAGACUGGCGUUCUCAAUGCCCGCCUUACUCAGCUUGGCGUCCCUCAUUCAGGAAAAACCACCUCUUGCCAUCCUUAAAAGCCAAACAAGCAAAUAGCACAACAGCAUUCUGGCUUAUCCUAAUUGCUCAGGGCCCCAAAUUUCCUGGGGUCAAGUGGAUGUUUGUUCUCAGUCUUGUUUAAAGGUAUUAACUGAGUUCUUUCUUUCCAUCUGGUUUCUUUUGUAGAUGAGAGCACAAAGAGUAUUGGCAUUAAAAAGGCAUCUGGUCCCACCCCUCCCCCCCAAACAGAAAUAGAAGAUCUAGGGGGCAGGAGCAAGCCCACCUUUGCCAGCUGCAGAUACCUGGGCUUCUGCCAGCAGCCUGGCACAUGGAGGUGAUUGGUACCUGUCUUCUCUCUGCCUGUGUUAGAUACCGCCCUUGCUUCCUUGAGGCCUUGGCUUGCUGUCAGAGGAACUAUAACUUAAACAUUCCUCUUGAGGCUAUUUGUCUUUACAAAGCAAUUAGCCAAGAAACGUUCAUGGUUCUUGCCUGAGCAAACUGUCCCUUUGGAAUGAAAAAAACAGCUAGCAGCUAGAAUUUGAGGUGUUGCAAACAUAGGCUCUUGUUCUUAAAGGUUUACCUCUGGAUCACUUAGCCAUGGCCGAAGUGUCCAGCUGAGAACCCUGAGUCCAGUCAGCCUCAUCAGGGCUUUGAGAAUUUUGCAGAAUCCUGGACUGUUUGCAGGGGUGCGGCCCAGGGGAGAGCAAGGGCUGGAGUGCACGGACUGAUGACUUUGUCAGGAUCUCUUUUUCUCUCUCUGAUUCCUUUGGCUCUGUCACUCUGCCUGGUUUGGCAGACUGGCUGAUGAGAGUGGCAGUAAUCAUAAAACUUAUAAAUUAAUAUGAUUGAGAACAAGCACGGUGUCACCUGCCAUGUUUGAGACUACGGUGUCCUUCUAGACCUGAAGUCCACCCUAACUUUGAGUUGUGAGAAGCAUGAGGACAGAUCAGUUAGUGCUGCCCUGAGGUUAAGUAGAGCACUGGGCCUUCUUUCCCACUGAGACCAUGUAACUAUGGGGAGGCAGUCAUGGACUGCCACGCGAUAGUAGCUUCUGAGCUGGGUGUGGUCAUGCGUGCCUGUAAUCCCAGCACUUGGGAGGCUGAGGCAGGAGGAUCACUGCGAGUUCAAGGCCAGCCUGAACUGCAUAGGGAAACCCUGCCUCAAAAAGUUAAAAAAAAAAAAGGCACACAGUAGCUUCUAAGGUUGAGGCAUACGGCCUUGUUUCUCUAAAUCCACUUCAUGUGUUAACUCCAGUCAACUCUAUAAGUGGGAAGGUUUUUAAAGAGGGGGUAUUUGGAUGAGAUCUUGAGAAAUGGAGCAGGAUACAACAGUAACAAAGUUGAGGCAAGAGAAAGAGAGUGGGUGUUGCAGGUGGUAGGUUUGGAGGUAAAUGCAGGAGGGAAUGCAGUGGAAUUUGCAUCGGGAGUAGAUGUUGUCCAGCUGGUGUUAAAGGGCUCAAUCUGGUGAGUUCAACUGUGCCAUGUUAUGAGACUAGGCCACUGCGAAAAUCCGUGCUCAUCAUGGAAGAGCUUGCUCUCUCAUCCUGAUGGGUAUUUAAAGAUCAGAUUGUGGGAUGCUCUUUGAUUAGAUGCUCUUUAGGAAUUAUAAAAAACUUAGAGGCCUUUUGCUGACAUUGCGAAACAAGGUGAGGGGAAUUGGCAGGAGGGAAUUGAAGUCUUGAUGUGUGUUGUGAUAGCGGUGAGGUGUUCUUGCUCAGGCCUGAGCAGGCGGAGCCUUAAAGGACUAGAUGUGUUCUUGGCUGUGGGACAGUGUCUGUAGCUUCACACACGCUGUCUAGCCCAGGCAUUCUGUGAGUCCCAAAACCUGAGUGUGGAACAUGGCUUAUUCCAGAGAGCUCCGCCCACCACACGCCCCGCCCUCUUGAACUGACUGCCCGGGCUGAUGGUGCCACCUUAUGGUCAGAGUGGGAACUGAAUGACCGAACAGCCUAUCUGGUUCUAGGGCCUGAGCACCAGUAAUGGGUUGCCUCUUUUCCUCAGUUUCCUUAUCAAGUUAGUUAAUACUGACUUAGGAAAUCUUCUCACAGUGAGAUACUGGAAUUCUCUUCAUCAAAGAAAUUGUUUCCAAGCUUAUGUUUUUCCUGCUCCUUCCUUAGCUGUCUCAGUUGUGAGCCCCAAAUCUACCCUAAUCAUGGUUCCUAUGCAUCGUGCUCCGGGAAGGAAAAUGAAAAGUUAUUAGAGCGAAAUUGGUCAUUCAAAGUUACAAACUGCCGCUGUCAGGGCUCUGAAAUUCUUGCAAGCAGAGGCCCCUCGCUAUCUAUAGUUCUUCUAAUCUUAUUAACCUGAUUGCUUCGUUCAAUAGAAUUCAAGAUAAAGCAGACUAACUUUUUAAUAUUUGAGUUUGUUUAUUAAUAAUGCUACAAAAUUAUUUUCUACUAGCUUUUCCUCUAAAAAUAUACAACUUCAACAAUAUUAUGAAUUAAGAAGACUUUUUUGGGGGCUGGCUUGGAAACCUGAAAUUUAUAAUUUUAUUUUAGCUUGCAUGGUUGCAUGUGCCUGUGGUCCCAGCUCCCUGGGAGGGUGAAGAAGGGUGACUGCGUGAGCCCAGGAGUUUGCCGUCAGCUUGGUCCACACGGCAAGACCCUGAGCCCAAAAUACAUACCACAUGUUUAUAUGUACAUACUUAUUUUUUGAAGAAAAAUGUAUUUUGGGUUCUCUAAACAAUCUCAGAGUGUUGGAACACAACAUGUUGGGCAGUUAGGCACUUCCUCUAUGUCACUGAUCAAUAGUCAAAGCUCUCAUGUAUUGACUGGAAAUACAAAUGAUAACAAGGAAUUUUCAAAAGCCCAAGAGAAUAGGAAGACUGUGUCCCUCACCAUAAGUCCACUUACUGAAAAGAAUGUAAGGUAGGAAACAUUGCUUGUCUGCUUGGGAGCCUCUCAGCAUUGUUAGUGCGUUGCUCUGAGGCUUGCAUUUUCUCGGAAACCCUCUUUGUUUUCACUGGGUCCUAGUCUUUGCUUUCCCAUUGUUUGCUGAGACAAACUCCAGGAGGCACUAUCUCGUGGAGUGGCUGCCUGGGUUCUGCCGAGGGAGCUAGCUGAGCCCAGGGCUUGUAGCCUGGUGGAUGCAGGGAGCUUUUCCUGACUGGGUUUCGACUUUGCUCAGAGAGCUGUUAGAUUUCAAGCAGUAAAGAAAAAGCCUGUUUUUGGCAGCAGCGGGGUGGGGGUGGGGGGUGGUUUCCUAAGAAAGUAGAUUUUGAAAGUUUUGGUAAAUGACCAAACCCAUUAGUGCAAUGUAACCCUCAGUAUUCAAUCACAGUUUUGCAUUUAGAUUAUAUUUUUUUUCCUGAGAAGUUCUUUUUUUAAGAACUGCUGUUUCACGACUUCUGUUCAUUUUUAGGAGUGUUCUUAAGCCCAAAGAGCACGUUUUAAACAAAAGUAGAAUAAAGUCCAUUCUCUGUUAAAAUAACCACGUAGCACUUUGGGAACCGUUUAUAAAUCUAGGUGGGUAUAUGGAUAAAUUGUAGGCCCUUAGUGACUUUAGUUUUCUUGUAUAAAAAUUUCUAUUUAAUCACCCUAAGAAAUAUUUUAUUAUUACUCCCCGGUUAUUGGUAAUUACAAUAAAAAUCACUAAAAUAAAGAAAUGGAAGAACGGUAGAGUCACCUGUAAGGAUGAAGAGUCACCUGUAAGGAUGAACAAAGCUGGCCGUCACUGUUGCAUCCCCCGCUUUUUAAUUACAUCGUCCGUAGGGUCACACCAUCUCUCAGGAAGGUACAGAAGAAGACAAAGGGCAGACACAACCCAGGUGCCCUCAGCCAAACACGUAUGCCGGGGGGAAGCCAUUCUCUUUACAAAUGGUGCUGGGAAAACUGGCUGUCCACGUGCAAAAGACUGAAACUCACUGCGUACCAAACUGAAAUCAAAAUGGGCCAAAGAUCUAAAUAAUAAAGCAGAAGCACUUAACCUACUAGAAUAUAAAUCAGGCAAAACUUUUGCAGAUAUAAGUGUAGGCAAGGACUUUCAGAAUGCAACUACAGCUGCAUAAGAAAUAACAUCAAGAAUCAACAAAUAGGAUUAGAUCAAAUUGAAAAGCUUAUGCACAGCCAAUGAAACGUCCAACGGAGUGAGAAGACAGCUUUCUCAAUGGGAAAGCAUUUGUGCUAGCUAUUCCUUGGACAGAGGACUAAUAUUAGAAUACAUAAAGAAUUCAAAAAGAAUUUCCACAAAAUAAAAGACCUGAUCAGUCAAAAAAAUGGGCGACUGAAAUGAUCACACACUUCUCAGAAGGACAGAUGAUCCAUAAAUGUUUGAAAAACUGUCCAAAAUCUCUGUCCAUUAAAAAAGUACAAAUUAAUACUGGCAUUUCUUGUUACUCCAGACAGAAUGGUUAACAUUAAGAAAUCAAGUAAUAACAAAUGAGAGGAUGUGAGGGAGAAGGAACCCUUUUAAAGUUUUGGUGGGAAUGUAAAUUAGUACAAUCACUGUAGAAAUCAGUAUGGAGAUUCCUCAAAAAACUAAAACUAGAAAUUCCCUUUGACCCAGAUAUUCCCAUUCUCAGUAUCCGUGUUAGAGACACAUGUUGCGGCUACACUCAUGUUACCCAUUUUUGUAGCAGUACAACUGGUAACAGCUAAAUCUUGAAAAUAGUCUAUAUAUAUGUCGACAGAUGAAUAAAGAAAAUGUAUAUACAGGAUGGAGUACUACAGGGCUGUUAAGAAGGAUACAUUUGAGUCAUUUGUAGGAAAAUUGAUGCAUCUUGAGAUGAUAAUGUUAUGUGAAAUAAAUCAGAUGUACAAACUUAAA